CCCAAAACAAAAGUGGUAGCGUAGAGCUGCCGGGCACAGGCGACUAUAUACGCACACCCCUUAUGUGGUAAAGGCUGCAAGGCAAAACCCUAAAGAUAAGUAGAUGCGCUGAAGCUUUUGCACGCUCUCGUAAUGCUUCAUUCUCACAACGGCAAAGUGUUAUUGCAUCAUCCUAAUGAUUAUCAUCAGCCGUCGUGGGAAUGAACAUUAUGAGACUGUGUAUACAGAUAGAUUCAUUAAAGCGUAUGUUUUUUUUUUAAAAUAAGUAAAACAAUAUGUGUGAUUCCUUCCAAUUCCAUUUGCUUAGUUUAUUUUCAUCGUCCCUUAAAGAAAUUAAGAACAAGUGGCAUUGGAGGUAUCCCAUGUAAUGUUUUUUACUGUGUACUUGUCUUUUUUUACAUCGUACGGUUUCUGGGCACGAGGAUGUCUUGUAUUAAGCCAUCACCAGACAACAGGCUGGAUUGGCAGGAAGAAAUGAAUUUUGUCUUAAUCAUGCAAAUCUCGAUGGGUCUUAAUCCCAUGUAUUCAGCGAUGUCGUGGGUUUUUUCACGAAGGCAAAGCUUUCGAGUUGUAGGUGUUCUUGGAAAAUUUUGAGUUAAUAGUUGAUAGCUUCUUCAAUUUUUUUGUAUGAUGCAAGCUAUAGAUUUGAAUCCUUCCCUUUUUGUUGUAAUUACCAUAAUUGAUAGUGAUCAAAGUUUAUUUUCAUUUUACAGUAUACAAGCUGGAAUAUUUAUAGAGUACAUUCUUGAUUUAA